rnacentral:rRNA from 1 species
AUUGAACGCUGGCGGCAUGCCUUACACAUGCAAGUCGAACGGUAACAGGUCUUCGGAUGCUGACGAGUGGCGAACGGGUGAGUAAUACAUCGGAACGUGCCUAGUAGUGGGGGAUAACUACUCGAAAGAGUGGCUAAUACCGCAUGAGAUCUACGGAUGAAAGCAGGGGAUCGCAAGACCUUGUGCUACUAGAGCGGCCGAUGGCAGAUUAGGUUGUUGGUGGGAUAAAAGCUUACCAAGCCGACGAUCUGUAGCUGGUCUGAGAGGACGAUCAGCCCAACUGGGACUGAGACACGGCCCCGACUCCUACGGGAGGCAGCAGUGGGGAAUUUUGGACAAUGGGCGCAAGCCUGAUCCAGCAAUGCCGCGUGCAGGAUGAAGGCCUUCGGGUUGUAAACUGCUUUUGUACGGAACGAAAAGCCCUGGGUUAAUACCCUGGGGUCAUGACGGUACCGUAAGAAUAAGCACCGGCUAACUACGUGCCAGCCGCCGCCGUAA